ACCCUCUGGUUCCUUUUCCCAUCAGAUCUUGAUGCUGAUCUUGGUGGAUGUAAAAGAGGGAGAGUAUACUGAAACUGGCCUCAUAGCUACAUAGUCAGGUAUAGAGCAUGGGUUCAAAUUAUACAUGC